UACGUAGGGUGUAAGCGUUGUCCGGAAUUAUUGGGCGUAAAGAGCUCGUAGGCGGUCUGUCGCGUCGGCUGUGAAAACCCGGGGCUCAACCCCGGGCCUGCAGUCGAUACGGGCAGACUAGAGUGUGGUAGGGGAGACUGGAAUUCCUGGUGUAGCGGUGAAAUGCGCAGAUAUCAGGAGGAACACCGGUGGCGAAGGCGGGUCUCUGGGCCAUAACUGACGCUGAGGAGCGAAAGCGUGGGGAGCGAACAGG
rnacentral:rRNA from 1 species